UCCAGACUCCUACGGGAGGCAGCAGUGGGGAAUAUUGGACAAUGGGGGGAACCCUGAUCCAGCGACGCCGCGUGAGUGAAGAAGUAUUUCGGUAUGUAAAGCUCUAUCAGCAGGGAAGAAAGAAAUGACGGUACCUGACUAAGAAGCCCCGGCUAACUACGUGCCAGCAGCCGCGGUAAUACGUAGGGGGCAAGCGUUAUCCGGAUUUACUGGGUGUAAAGGGAGCGUAGACGGUCCUGCAAGCCAGAUGUGAAAGCCCGGGGCCCAACCCCGGGACUGCAUUUGGAACUGUAAGGCUAGAGUGUCGGAGAGGCAGGCGGAAUUCCUAGUGUAGCGGUGAAAUGCGUAGAUAUUAGGAGGAACACCAGUGGCGAAGGCGGCCUGCUGGACGAUGACUGACGUUGAGGCUCGAAAGCGUGGGGAGCAAACAGGAUUAGAUACCCCAGUAU
rnacentral:rRNA from 1 species